rnacentral:rRNA from 1 species
UGAGGGAAUAAUUGGCACAAAUGGAGGGAAACGUCUGAUGCAGCAACGCCGCGUGGAGGAUGACGCAUUUCGGUGUGUAAACUCCUUUUAUGAGUCAAGAAAAUGACGGUAGCUCAUGAAUAAGCACCGGCUAACUCCGUGCCAGCAGCCGCGGUAAUACGGAGGGUGCAAGCGUUAUUCGGAAUCACUGGGCGUAAAGGACGCGUAGGCGGGAAGCCAAGUCUGAUGUGAAAUCCUAUGGCUUAACCAUAGAACUGCAUUGGAAACUGGUUACCUAGAGUAUGGGAGGGGGAGAUGGAAUUAGUGGUGUAGGGGUAAAAUCCGUAGAUAUCACUAGGAAUACCGAAAGCGAAGGCGAUCUCCUGGAACAAUACUGACGCUAAGGCGUGAAAGCGUGGGGAGCAAACG